rfam:Ornithorhynchus anatinus chromosome 3, whole genome shotgun sequence.
CCCCUCUCAGGAUCGCACCUGGAGGGUUUCCACUACUCUACCGGUCUUGACUAUGGGAGGAAGAGUCAAGCAGAGGCAUAUCCAUUCCAUUCCUAGCUUGGGCAGGGGCUAGCGAGGGGAAGACACUCUGCUGCAAGU